rnacentral:pre_miRNA from 18 species
AGAAUAUUGCGUAGGCCUUUGUUUCGAAAGACCCAAAAAUUGUUCGCAGCAAUCUCCUUCGCAAUAUUUU